rnacentral:rRNA from 1 species
CCUACGGGAGGCAGCAGUCGAGAAUUAUUCACAAUGGGGGAAACCCUGAUGGUGCGACGCCGCGUGGGGGAAUGAAGGUCUUCGGAUUGUAAACCCCUGUCAUGUGGGAGCAAAUUAAAAAGAUAGUACCACAAGAGGAAGAGACGGCUAACUCUGUGCCAGCAGCCGCGGUAAUACAGAGGUCUCAAGCGUUGUUCGGAAUCACUGGGCGUAAAGCGUGCGUAGGCUGUUUCGUAAGUCGUGUGUGAAAGGCGCGGGCUCAACCCGCGGACGGCACAUGAUACUGCGAGACUAGAGUAAGGGAGGGGGAACCGGAAUUCUCGGUGUAGCAGUGAAAUGCGUAGAUAUCGAGAGGAACACUCGUGGCGAAGGCGGGUUCCUGGACAUUAACUGACGCUGAGGCACGAAGGCCAGGGGAGCGAAAGGGAUUAGAUACCCUGGUAGUC